CAAAAGCUUGGUCCUAACUUUAAUGUCAAUUUUAAUCAAUUUUACACAUGCAAGCAUCCACACACCAGUGAAAUAUUAUUCUUAUUCAAUAAGACAAUGAUAUCAGGCACAACACCACUUAGCCUACAACAUCUAGCUAAUGCCACACCCACAAGGGCCAGCAGCAGUGAUUAACCUUAAUAAAUAAACAUAAGUUUAACUUAGAUAUGAUUAAUAGAGUCGGUCCAUCUUGUGCCAGCCACCGCGGUUAUACAAGAAACUCAAAUUGACAUUUUUCGGCGUAAAAGUGAUAAAAAGACAAUCACCAUUAUAAGAUUAAAUAUUUAUUUAGCUGUCAUACGCUACCAUAUAAUAUAAAUUCACCUCAAUCUUAACUUUAAAUUAUACUUGAAUUCACCACCGCUAAAACACAAACUGGGAUUAGAUACCCCACUAUGUUUAGCCACAAAUCAGUUUACAUAACCUUAUACCAGAGUACUACAAGCAACAGCUUAAAACUCAAAGGACUUGGCGGUAUCCCAAACCCCACCAGAGGAGCCUGUUCUAUAAUCGACAACCCACGUUAUACCCCACCACUCUUCGCCUACUCAACCUAUAUACCGCCGUCGUCAAUUCACCUUAUGAAAGACCACCAGAUAAUUAAACUGAACACACCAAAUACGUCAGGUCAAGGUGUAGUUUAUAGAGUGGACAGAAAUGGGCUACAUUUCUUUACAAAAAUAAUACGACAAAUAUUAUGAAAAUUAUAUUAUAAGGCGGAUUUGAUAGUAAGAUUAGCUCAUCAUACUAACCUUAAAACGGCUCUGGGAUGCGCACACACCGCCCGUCACCCUCAUCUAAACAUUAAUUAAUAUUAAUAAUACCAACUAGUCUAUACCACAGAAGAGGGAAGUCGUAACAUGGUAAGCGCACUGGAAAGUGCUCUUAGAUCAC
rnacentral:ncRNA from 1 species